AGCAGCAUGGCGCAGAUGGAAGCGCGCGGGGCCCAUAUCGUUACGUAAGACCAUUACGUAAUGGGGUACCCCGAGGUCACUCGAUCGAAACGAGUUGCUGCUA